UACGAAGGGGGCUAGCGUUGCUCGGAAUCACUGGGCGUAAAGGGUGCGUAGGCGGGUCUUUAAGUCAGGGUGAAAUCCUGGAGCUCAACUCCAGAACUGCCUUUGAUACUGAGGAUCUUGAGUUCGGGAGAGGUGAGUGGAACUGCGAGUGUAGGGGUGAAAUUCGUAGAUAUUCGCAAGAACACCAGUGGCGAAGGCGGCUCACUGGCCCGAUACUGACGCUGAGGCACGAAAGCGUGGGGAGCAAACAGG
rnacentral:rRNA from 1 species